rnacentral:rRNA from 1 species
CUAAAAGCAGCCACCUUUUAAAUCGCGUCAAAGCAUAAAUUUGUUAUUGCCUAAAUACCAAUAAUUAUAAUUAACCCUUAUUUUAUAAUGAGUGACUCCAUACCCAUAUGGAAGACACCAUGCUGAGAUUAGUAACAAGAAUAAGAUAUUCUCCAAAAUGUAAACGUAAACCAAAAUGGACUAUCCAUUGGUAAUUAACUAAAAUGAACCUACUGCAGAAACACUACCAAGAGAACCCUGCACCGUAAAUAGUUAACCUAACACUAGGACAUUACUGGAAAGAUUAAAAGAAAGAGAAGGAAUUCGGCAAAUUACAACCCCGCCUGUUUACCAAAAACAUCGCCUCUUGCACUCUCAUAAGAGGUCCCGCCUGCCCAGUGAAUUUUCAACGGCCGCGGUACCCUAACCGCGCGAAGGUAGCGUAAUCACUUGUUCUUUAAAUGGGGACUUGUAUCAAUGGCAUCACGAGGGUUACACUGUCUCCUCUUUCCAAUCAGUGAAAUUGAUCUUCCCGUGAAGAAGCGGGAAUAUAACUAUAAGACGAGAAGACCCCAUGGAGCUUUAAAUCGCGCAGCAACUUAAAUACACAACCCCUCAUAUUCUGUAAGACCGUGCUGCAACGUUUUAGGUUGGGGUGACCACGGAGUAAAAUCAAACCUCCACGACGAAAAGGCAAUAAUCUUUAUUUAUGAACUACUGUUCUAAAAAUUAGCACACUAACGGAUAAUGAUCCGAUAAUCGAUCAACGGACCAAGUUACCCUGGGGAUAACAGCGCAAUCUACUUUGAGAGCUCAUAUCGACAAGUAGGCUUACGACCUCGAUGUUGGAUCAGGGUAUCCCGGUGGUGCAGCCGCUACUGAAGGUUC